AAAUUGGAAUCUUUUGGUUACAACACAUUCUGGAUCGUAGGUGGCGGCCAAGGUGUUUCAAAAGCUUUUAGGUCUGAAAAAUGCACAAAAUCAUCAUAUUUUGACAAAAUGUCCAAAAUGGGCUUACUUUGGUGAAUAUCUUGUAGUCUUAUGAAAAGAACUGAUAUAUUUAGCAUUUAUACUUUUGAAAUAGACCCAUUUACGAACCAAAUUG
rnacentral:lncRNA from 1 species